AGCAGCUGCGGUGGAUCUCCUACUCAGACUUGCGGGGAGAGCCGGUUGACAGCUGCGUGCAGAUCCGACUACUGGGCCGCUGGGAGUUCGUGCCGCCGUCGUGCGUGGUUUAUCAAAGAAACUGGCCAGGUGUCUCCUUUUGGAGCCGAAGAUGGCGAGCUACUGAAACUACGGCUGGGAGCCAACAACCUCUGUAGCACUACAGCAUCGCAGCCCUACUGGUCUGGUAGGAGGCUGUGACAGCCCCACGCAAUUCUCAUUAAACUGCCACAACUCCACUCACAUCCCUUCCCUUCAAUGGACAAUAUUCAAUGGACAAUUCCCCGUGAACACUCACUCAGACCCUCGUGGAUUGUUGUGACAGUGUGUAGAUUGGGUGCAAGCAACUUUGGGGAUUCAUUUAUUUUCCCAUUGUGAACCUUUGUAUGUUGUUGUGUUAAAUCCUGAACCAAACUGAGCCAUAUCUAAAGUGCACUUAAGUAAUAUUCUAACCGGUUGCCAUAACUGCAGUUUUGUAUAUAUUUUGGCUUUUUCUAUUUUUUUCCUUACCAUUUGUUGUUGUAAAUAUUUUGGGUUGUCAUAUUCACUUUGAAAUACAAGGUACCUGCACUAAU